GUAAUUAAAAAAUGCAAUUAAAAAAUGCAAUUAAAAAAUGCAAUUAAGAAAAAAAUAAAAUAAUAACAUAACAAAGCAUGUAUAUAUGCAUAUAUAUUUGUGUAUAGAUAGAUACACAGAUAUAAAAAUAAUAUUAUUAAAUAUAGUAAAAUAGUAUAUAAUGUUUAAAAUUAAAUAAGCUUUAAAAAAAAACCUUUUUGAGAAGAGUGCGGAAGUAGUAAUAAAUGUAAAAAUAUGCGUAUUUAUUUAAAUGUAUAAAAUAAUGCAUACGUGUUUGUAACAUACAUACAUAAGUUUUUAUGUACUUAUACCGACAUAGUUGUCAUAUAUAUUUUUUUCCAUGUACUUGUGAAAAAAAAAGAUGGAUGUUGAAUAUGUUGAAGAAAAUGGUAUUGAUAGUCUACUGGAGACAUUAAAUGUAAAUUACGAGGAAUGCACAAAAUAUGAUGCAUAUAUUGAAGCAGAAAUUAAAGAAGAUCUAGCUGAUAGCCAUACGUUUGAAGAAACAAAAGUUUAUAACGAAAAUAUAAAAAAUAACAAAAGCAGUAAUAGCAUGAGUUGUACUAAUAGUAAACAUGAAAAUAAAAAUAAAAAUAAAAAUGAUAAAAAAAAACAUAAAUCAAAUAGAUAACAUAAAAAAUGUUAUUUUUACAAAAAAAAAUACAAAUGAUUAUAAUAAUAAAAAAUGUUCCAUUAAUAAUCCUAGGGGAAAUCAACAGAAUGUGUUCAGAAAUAUAAAUGUUAAGAAAAAAAGAAUAAUGAUCAGUAGUGAUGAGUCUGAUGAAAACGAAGAUAUGUGUUCUGUAAAAAAAAUAGUUGAUUAUGUUAAAAAACGAAAAAUUAAAAAAAACGAAAUGACCCCAAAAAAUAAUAAUAAUUAAAGGAGUAAACACAAGAGAUAGACAUAAAUAUAUAUGUGCUUAUAUACAAGUGUUGAAAUUUUUUUUUCUUAUUUUUCAAUUGUUACCAAAAAAAAAAGAAAGAAAAGUGUAUAUAUAUAUAUAUAUAUAUAUAUAUAUUAGUUAAACGCAAUGUACACGGAUGACUUGACAUAAAAUAGCUAAUUUUAAAAUUUUUUUUUUGUUUUUGUUUUUAUAAAUAUAAACUAAAAAAAAAUUAAAAAAAAACGAAUAAUAAAAUAACAUAAUACAAUAUAAUACGCA
rnacentral:lncRNA from 1 species